AUCAGCNCGGUACUCGCCGAAUGNCUCUAGGUUNUAAGUUUGAUCAUGGCUCAGAGCNGAACGCUGUAGGUAGGCCUAACACAUGCAAGUCGAACGGCAGCACAGGAGAGCUUGCUCUACUGGGUGGCGAGUGGCGGACGGGUAGAGGAAUACAUCGGAAUCUACUCUGUACGCGGGGGAUAACGUAGGGAAACUUACGCUAAUACCGCAUACGACCUACGGGUGAAAGCAGGGGAUCUUCGGACCUUGCGCGAUUGAAUGAGCCGAUGUCGGAUUAGCUAGUUGGCGGGGUAAAGGCCCACCAAGGCGACGAUCCGAAGCUAGUCUGAGAGGAUGAUCAGCCACACUGGAACUGAGACACGGUACCAGACUCCUACGGGAGGCAGCAGU
rnacentral:rRNA from 1 species